rnacentral:rRNA from 1 species
CCAAGUUUUUAAGGGCGCACGGUGGAUGCCUUGGCACCAGGAACCGAUGAAGGACGUGGGAGGCCACGAUAGUCCCCGGGGAGUCGUCAACCAGGCUUUGAUCCGGGGGUUUCCGAAUGGGGAAACCCGGCAGUCGUCAUGGGCUGUCACCCGCUGCUGAACACAUAGGCAGUGUGGAGGGAACGCGGGGAAGUGAAACAUCUCAGUACCCGCAGGAAGAGAAAACAACCGUGAUUCCGGGAGUAGUGGCGAGCGAAACCGGAUGAGGCCAAACCGUAUGCGUGUGAGACCCGGCAGGGGUUGCGUAUACGGGGUUGUGGGAUCUCUCUUCCACGGUCUGCCGGCCGUGGGACGAGUCAGAAACCGUUGAUGUAGGCGAAGGACAUGCGAAAGGUCCGGCGUAGAGGGUAAGACCCCCGUAGUCGAAACAUCAGCGGCUCGUUUGAGAGACACCCAAGUAGCACGGGGCCCGAGAAAUCCCGUGUGAAUCUGGCGGGACCACCCGCUAAGCCUAAAUAUUCCCUGGUGACCGAUAGCGGAUAGUACCGUGAGGGAAUGGUGAAAAGUACCGCGGGAGCGGAGUGAAAUAGUACCUGAAACCGUGUGCCUACAAGCCGUGGGAGCGUCGGAAUGUGCUUGCACAUUCUCGUGACUGCGUGCCUUUUGAAGAAUGAGCCUGCGAGUUUGCGGUGUGUUGCGAGGUUAACCCGGGUGGGGUAGCCGUAGCGAAAGCGAGUCCGAACAGGGCGUUUCAGUAGCACGCUCAAGACCCGAAGCGGAGUGAUCUAGCCAUGGGCAGGUUGAAGCGGAGGUAAGACUUCGUGGAGGACCGAACCCACCAGGGUUGAAAACCUGGGGGAUGACCUGUGGUUAGGGGUGAAAGGCCAAUCAAACUCCGUGAUAGCUGGUUCUCCCCGAAAUGCAUUUAGGUGCAGCGUCGUGUGUUUCUUGCCGGAGGUAGAGCACUGGAUAGGCGAUGGGCCCUACCGGGUUACUGACCUUAGCCAAACUCCGAAUGCCGGUAAGUGAGAGCGCGGCAGUGAGACUGUGGGGGAUAAGCUCCAUGGUCGAGAGGGAAACAGCCCAGAGCAUCGACUAAGGCCCCUAAGCGUACGCUAAGUGGGAAAGGAUGUGGAGUCGCAGAGACAACCAGGAGGUUGGCUUAGAAGCAGCCACCCUUGAAAGAGUGCGUAAUAGCUCACUGGUCUAGUGAUUCCGCGCCGACAAUGUAGCGGGGCUCAAGCGUACCGCCGAAGUCGUGUCAUUGCAGCAUAAAGCCCCAACGGGUGCUGUGAUGGGUAGGGGAGCGUCGUGUGCCGGGUGAAGCAGCACCGGAAGGUAGUUGUGGACGGUUCACGAGUGAGAAUGCAGGCAUGAGUAGCGAUUCACACGUGAGAAACGUGUGCGCCGAUUGACUAAGGGUUCCUGGGUCAAGCUGAUCUGCCCAGGGUAAGUCGGGACCUAAGGCGAGGCCGACAGGCGUAGUCGAUGGAUAACCGGUUGAUAUUCCGGUACCCGCUGUGAAGCGUCAAACAUUGAACCAGGCGAUGCUAAGUCCGUGAAGCCGCCCCGGAGCCUUCGGGCAAGGGGGAGUGGUGGAGCCGACGGACCAGACCUGUAGUAGGUGAGUGAUGGGGUGACGCAGGAAGGUAGUCCAGCCCGGGCGGUGGUUGUCCCGGGGUAAGGGUGUAGGGCGAACGGUAGGCAAAUCCGCCGUUCAUGGAGCCUGAGACCUGAUGCCGAGCCGAUUGUGGUGAAGUGGAUGAUCCUAUGCUGUCGAGAAAAGCCUCUAGCGAGUUUCAUGGCGGCCCGUACCCUAAACCGACUCAGGUGGUCAGGUAGAGAAUACCGAGGCGUUCGGGUGAACUAUGGUUAAGGAACUCGGCAAAAUGCCCCCGUAACUUCGGGAGAAGGGGGGCCACGCCUGGUGAGGGGACUUGCUCUCCGAGCUGGGGGUGGCCGCAGAGACCAGCGAGAAGCGACUGUUUACUAAAAACACAGGUCCGUGCGAAGCCGUAAGGCGAUGUAUACGGACUGACGCCUGCCCGGUGCUGGAACGUUAAGGGGACCGGUUAGUCACAUUUCGGUGUGGCGAAGCUGAGAACUUAAGCGCCAGUAAACGGCGGUGGUAACUAUAACCAUCCUAAGGUAGCGAAAUUCCUUGUCGGGUAAGUUCCGACCUGCACGAAUGGCGUAACGACUUCUCGACUGUCUCAACCAUAGGCCCGGUGAAAUUGCACUACGAGUAAAGAUGCUCGUUUCGCGCAGCAGGACGGAAAGACCCCGGGACCUUUACUACAGUUUGAUAUUGGUGUUCGGUUCGGCUUGUGUAGGAUAGGUGGGAGACUGUGAAGCUUGGACGCCAGUUCAGGUGGAGUCGUCGUUGAAAUACCACUCUGGUCGUGCUGGAUGUCUAACCUGGGUCCGUGAUCCGGAUCAGGGACAGUGUCUGAUGGGUAGUUUAACUGGGGCGGUUGCCUCCUAAAGAGUAACGGAGGCGCCCAAAGGUUCCCUCAGCCUGGUUGGCAAUCAGGUGUUGAGUGUAAGUGCACAAGGGAGCUUGACUGUGAGACCGACGGGUCGAGCAGGGACGAAAGUCGGGACUAGUGAUCCGGCGGUGGCUUGUGGAAGCGCCGUCGCUCAACGGAUAAAAGGUACCCCGGGGAUAACAGGCUGAUCUUCCCCAAGAGUCCAUAUCGACGGGAUGGUUUGGCACCUCGAUGUCGGCUCGUCGCAUCCUGGGGCUGGAGUCGGUCCCAAGGGUUGGGCUGUUCGCCCAUUAAAGCGGUACGCGAGCUGGGUUUAGAACGUCGUGAGACAGUUCGGUCCCUAUCCGCUGUGCGCGUAGGAGUCUUGAGAAGGGCUGUCCCUAGUACGAGAGGACCGGGACGGACGAACCUCUGGUGUGCCAGUUGUUCUGCCAAGGGCAUGGCUGGUUGGCUACGUUCGGGAGGGAUAACCGCUGAAAGCAUCUAAGCGGGAAGCCUGCUUCGAGAUGAGGACUCCCACCCACUUGAUGGGGUAAGGCUCCCAGUAGACGACUGGGUUGAUAGGCCGGAUCUGGAAGCACAGUAAUGUGUGGAGGUGACCGGUACUAAUAGGCCGAGGGCUUGUCCUC